GAUGAACGCUGGCGGCGUGCCUAACACAUGCAAGUCGAGCGAUUCUCUUCGGAGAAGAGCGGCGGACGGGUGAGUAACGCGUGGGUAACCUGCCCUGUACACACGAAUAACAUACCGAAAGGUAUGCUAAUACGAGAUAAUAUACUUUUAUCGCAUGGUAGAAGUAUCAAAGCUCCGGCGGUACAGGAUGGACCCGCGUCUGAUUAGCUAGUUGGUAAGGUAACGGCUUACCAAGGCGACGAUCAGUAGCCGACCUGAGAGGGUGAGCGGCCAAAUUGGAACAGGGACACGGUCCAAACUCCUACGGGAGGCAGCAGUGGGGAAUAUUGCACAAUGGGCGAAAGCCUGAUGCAGCAACGCCGCGUGAGCGAUGAAGGCCUUCGGGUCGUAAAGCUCUGUCCUCAAGGAAGAUAAUGACGGUACUUGAGGAGGAAGCCCCGGCUAACUACGUGCCAGCCGCCGCCGUAAGAC
rnacentral:rRNA from 1 species